rnacentral:rRNA from 1 species
AUGGGGGGCCCAUCCUCCAAGGCUAAAUACUCCUGACUGACCGAUAGUGAACCAGUACCGUGAGGGAAAGGCGAAAAGAACCCCGGCGAGGGGAGUGAAAAAGAACCUGAAACCGUGUACGUACAAGCAGUGGGAGCACGCUUAGGCGUGUGACUGCGUACCUUUUGUAUAAUGGGUCAGCGACUUAUAUUCUGUAGCAAGGUUAACCGAAUAGGGGAGCCGAAGGGAAACCGAGUCUUAACUGGGCGUUAAGUUGCAGGGUAUAGACCCGAAACCCGGUGAUCUAGCCAUGGGCAGGUUGAAGGUUGGGUAACACUAACUGGAGGACCGAACCGACUAAUGUUGAAAAAUUAGCGGAUGACUUGUGGCUGGGGGUGAAAGGCCAAUCAAACCGGGAGAUAGCUGGUUCUCCCCGAAAGCUAUUUAGGU